AAUAAUUAUUAUAAUCUUUUAAAAAUAUUUUUAACAAACUAUAAAUGAUUUAAAUAUACAUAUUUACUGCAAAUAUAAAACAAGAAACAAUUGAUCUCUAGUAGUUAUAUGGUACUUAUUUUACCUAGAGGUCCAAGGUUCAAAUCUUUUAAAAGCAAAAAAAUUUAUAGAUAGGCUUUUAAACUUGGUCAAACCAGUCAACCGAUCGAGUUAAUAUAAAAAUUGCCCGGUUAACUCGGUCAACUCAAUUUUGGCCGAGUCAAUUGCAUUUCUAUGAAAAUGUUCUACCCGGCUCAAUCAAGGGCCCGGGUCACCGGUUCUUCGGCCCGACUGGCCAGUCCAAGCUGGGUUUAAUAACUAUGUUCUUAACCUUUGAGAGUUAAUAAAUAAUCAAAUUUUGACCAACUGGGCAUAUGCAAGAUCUGCUUAUAAUAACAAUCUAGAAAAUCCCCAACAAUGCAAUCGCGACAGUUGCCGGUUCCAUUUAAUGGGAUUCCAAGGGGAAUGAUGGAGUGAAGGCUAAGAUAAAGUUGGGUUCAAAAUAGUUAUGGGUUUGCCAUUAUGUGCUUUGGUUCCGGAGGAACAGUUUCGGUUUGCCAUUACUUACUUGGAAAUUUGUUUAAUUUUUAAGUUAAGUGAUUGGUGGUUAGAGAAUAGGCCGUCAUGUACGGUGGAACGGUUCUGGGUGGGCUUCCGAUGACCAUAGAAGAAGUGGUGGUGUUAAAAUUUAUUUAUUUAAAAUAAAUACUAUUAGUUUGUAUUUUGUUCUAGUCUAUAGCCAUUUUGCUUAGUGGUUAGAGUUGUUUAGAAAAUGACUGUUGUGGUAGCUUUUCUUUUGCCUAGUUUAUUGGAGUCAGUUUUUUGUAAUUGCCUAUAUAAAGGCUAUGGGUUAAUAAAUAAAAUGAUCAAUUUCAAUACCAACUCUUCUCAAUUUUCUCUCUCAUGUUCUUCACUUUAUUUGGUGUAGUAGAACAUUAUCAUUUCCAGUGCAGCAAAACACUAUUUUUUCUUUUAUCUGUAGACAGUGGUAUCAGAGCCCAUAACCCACAGUUCUCAGGUUAGAAAGAGAUGGGGAGUAGAGAGACUCGACGAAAGUUCACCAAUGGCUUCCAAAAAUUUUGUAAAGCCAGUCAUUUCGUGGUUUGAUGGUCAUUAUGACCAUUGGAGUAUCUUAUGGAAAACUUCUUAAGAUUUAAGGAGUAUUGGCAUGUUGUUGAACCUGGUACAGCAGCACCUACAACACCUAAUAAUGGCAUGGCAAUUACAUAUGACAAAAAAUAGAGCCGGAGGGGUUGAAGUUGAAAGAUGUAAAGGCAAAAAAUUAUUUGUUCCAGGCCAUUGAUCGAUCUAUCCUUGAAACUAUUCUCAGCAAAAAAAAAAAAAAAAACUUCUAAGGAUAUUUGGGAUUCAAUAAAGAAAAAUAUCAAGGCUCUUCCAGAGUAAAGUGUGCACAGCUUCAAGCCUUGAGAAGGGAGUUUGAGACUUUACAAAUGAAGGAUGGUGAAUCCAUGACCAUCAUUGUGUAAGGACUAUGGAAAUAGUUGACAAAAUGCGAUUCAAUGGUGAGAAGAUGGACGAUGUUGCCAUCGUUGAGAAGAUAUUGCGUUUUUUGGCUUCAAAGUUUGAUUACGUUGUUUGAUCAAUUGAAGAAUCCAAAGACAUAGAUGUCCUUUCACUUGAUGAACUCCAGAGCUCGUUGUUGGUCCAUGAACAGAAGAUAAAUCAAAAUUUAUCUACAGAAGAGCAAGCUUUAAAGGCUUUUACCUUUAACCAUAUAUUCUUGAGGUAAAGGUGGAGGAAAGGGAGAUCGAGGCAAUAUGGAUGGCAAUUGUAGCAGGCAGCAGCCAAAUGAUCAAAAUAAUGAUAAAUUUCAUGGAAAGGCAGAGGAUGGGAAUUCGACAAAUCCAAGGAGAAAUCAGAAGCUUUUAGUGCAUUCAAAAGCUUUAAGGCGUGUGUGGAGAAUUAAUCAUAAAGUGUCAUUAAAUCUCGUUGCACUGAUCAUGGUGGAGAAUAUUUCAAAGGAAUUUGAUGUUUUAUUGUGAUAGGCAUGACAUUUGAAGGGAACUCACAGCUGCCUAUCAACAAAAUGGUGUGUUAGAGAGGAAGAAUAGAACCAUCUCAACAUGGUGAGAAGCUUGUUGGCAAGAGAGAAAAUUCCCAAAAAUUUCUAUCCCGAGGUAGUAAAUUGGGGCAUUUAUGUGUUGAACAGAAGUCCUACUUUUUCUGUUCAAAACAUGACACCUGAGGAAGCUUGGAGUGGAUGGAAAUUGAAAAAUGCAUUAUAGGGACUAAAGCAAGCACCAAGAGCUUGGUAUAGUCGUAUAGAUGUUUAUUUCUCAAGAAAAGGGUUUCUUAAAUGUCUUCACGAUCAUAAGCAUUUUACAAAGCUAGGAAAUAAUGAUAAAAUGCUUGUUUAUGUGCCUUUAAGUUGAUGAUUUCAUGUUUGUUUUUAUGAUGAGUUUUGGAGUUGUUUCACGGUCAUCGAAGAAACAACAAAUUGCAACUUUAUUAACCACAGAAGUUGAAUUUGUUGUAGCAGCCUCAAGCUCUUGUCAAGUUGUUUAGCUAAGGGGGCUAUUGGAACACUUCAAAACCAGCAAAAAGGUCCAACAAUCAUACACUGUGUCAACUAUAAAAAUUUCGAAAAUUUUAGUUCUACAUGGAAGGAGCAAUCAUAUAGAUGUGAGAUACCAUUUUUUGCGUGAUCUCUGCAAUGGUUGUAUAGUUAAUUCAAUGUUCUGCAAGAGUGAAGAGCAGGUGGCUGAUAUUAUGACUAAAUCGCUUAAACAAGCAGCGUUUGUAAAGAUUAGAAGAAUGCUGGGAGUACGUUCUUCACAGGAUGUCAUUUUAGAUUCUUGAAUUUCUUCUUAAACUGAUUUCUGCAGUUAUCAGUUUAAGGAAGGGUGUUAGGAUUUAUUUAUUUAAAUUAAUUACUAUUAGUUUGUAUGUUCGACUCUAUAGCUAUUUUGCUUAGUGGUUAGAGUUGUUUAGAAAGUAACUUUUGUGGUAGCUUUUUUUUUUUUUUCCUAGUUCAUUAGAGUUAGCUUUUGCCUAUAUAAAGGCUGUGGGUCGAUGAAUAAUAUCAUCAAUUUCAGUACCAACUCCUUUAAAUUUUUUCUCUCAUGUUCUUCACUUUA